rnacentral:rRNA from 1 species
CCAGCAGCCGCGGUAAUUCCAGCUCCAAUAGCAUAUAUUAAAGUUGUUGCAGUUAAAAAGCUCGUAGUUGGAUUUCAAGAGACGGACCGGUUCACCGGUAAAUCUCUACGGUCACAUGACUGUUACUGUGAGAAAAUUAGAGUGUUUAAAGCAGGCUAUUGCAGGAAUAUAUUAGCAUGGAAUAACGAAUGUGCUUACAAUUUGGUUAAUUGUAGGUUACGAUUAAUAGGGACAGUUGGGGGCAUUAGUAUUUAAUUGUCAGAGGUGAAAUUCUUGGAUUAGUUAAAGACUAACAUAUGCGAAAGCAUUUGCCAAAGAUGUUUUCAUUAAUCAAGAACGAAAGU